AUUUGAUUUAGUAUUUGUUUGAUUAAUUAAAAUGAUAAUAUUGGUAUGUAUACUUCACUAAGUAGCAAAAUGCGCAUUGUGAUUCCAAAAUAUCAAUCUGCAUUUAGUUCAGAGGCAUCUUACACAGUAUACUGUGUUGAAGUUAUUCAUAAUGGGAAAGUUAUAAAUUUGCAAAAACGUUAUAGUGAAUUUUAUGAUUUGCAUAAAAAGCUUCAAAAGGUUUUAAAUAUAAAGUUUGCGUUUCCUCCAAAAAGAGUUUUAAAUAAAGAUAAAAACUUAUUAGAAAUGAGAAGGGAGAUGCUAGAAUUGUUUUUGCAGGCUGUAUUAAAUGAAGUUCAAAUGGACAUUCCAAAUAUUUUACUUGAAUUUCUACAGCUUUCCAGCGAUAAAGAUUUUUCCAAAGAUCUACAAAUAGGCACAGAAAAACAAAGAAGUUAUACAAACCAUCAACAAAUGAUUUGUUUCAAAAAACAUGCUUACUUACAUGAAUCUGUCUGUGCAUAAAGGGAAAGAAACAGUAAAAAGAUUCGACUUUACUGAAUGACUAGCAAAGCGAAAAUGAGUUUUGGAUCAGAUUAAAGAUUGGCUUUUGGAUCAGAUUCAAGAUUGGCUGCUUGUUCAAAGCAAUCAAAAACUGAAGACUUUAUUUAGACAGGAGUAUGAAGUUGGGUCAUCAGAAAAUACUUUAGAUAAAUUGCAGAAGAAAAGAUUUUGUCAUGCAUUAUCACUAAAGGAUGUCUUAAUGGGAUAUAUAAUUAAUGUUUGAAGAGGUAAGGUAAACUAAUAACCAGUUUCCUUAAAGGUAUGAAGAGUUUUAACCACGAUUAUUACACUUGUAAAAUUAUUUAUUUGCACACCUUUUUUUUUCUUUGUAAUAUACUGAGAUUUGUACCAGCAUUUUUUAAAUUUAAACCUUGUAUAUAUUUGCUCUAUUUAAUUUUUUA